rnacentral:lncRNA from 1 species
AGGGGCACAAGAAGAUCCUUUCAUCAUUUUAUUCAAUGUCAUUUCCUUGUAACAUUGAUGAGAGAAGAAACUGACUCCCCCUCCAGGGCCAUUGUCUGUGUGGAGUUUGCACAUUCUCUCCAUGUCUGCAUGAGUUUUCUCCAGAAGACAGAAGAUUCUAUCUCCAUUGUAACUGCUUAAAAGAUAGUUCUCUGUUCCUUAGCCCUUAAGGUUCCUCCAGUCAGAAUACACAAUCAACCCAGCAGCUAACUCAGCCAGCCUGCAUCACAAAAAACACCAGCCAGCUGCCAAGCCAGGUGACUCAGAGUCUUUGAUCAUCUCAGUCCUCCUCCUCUAAUGCACUGGGCUCUCCUCAUUUCUCCAGAAGUGUUUCCAUUUCCACAUUUCAAUCCCUUUAGUGAGCCCUUAUAGAUGUCAUCUCCCUGAACACUGACCCUUGGUGCAUUGGUAUAGCUUAAAUUUAGUUCAUGUCCCUAGCUUGAUGAUGGCUCAGUCUUACUUAGGUUUGUGCUAAAUAUGUAGAAAUCUAAAGCCUAUGGAUAUUUGAAUAAAU